rnacentral:rRNA from 1 species
UUGUCGAAACCUGCAAAGCAGAACGACCCGCGAACACGUUACCACACCGGGGGAGGGACUGGGGGUGCGCAAGUUCCCCAAGUCGCGAACCCAUGGUCGGGGAUUGCCCUCUGGGUGGUCCUCGUCUGAACAACGACCCCCCGGCGCGGAAUGCGCCAAGGAAAUCAAACUGAACUGAACGCGUCCCCCCCGUUUGCGGGCGGUGGAGGCGUCUUCCUAAAACACAAACGACUCUCGGCAACGGAUAUCUCGGCUCUCGCAUCGAUGAAGAACGUAGCGAAAUGCGAUACUUGGUGUGAAUUGCAGAAUCCCGUGAACCAUCGAGUUUUUGAACGCAAGUUGCGCCCGAAGCCACUAGGUUGAGGGCACGUCUGCCUGGGCGUCACGCAUCGCGUAGCCCCCCAACCACGCACUACCUCAUGGGAGUCGUGGCAGAGGGGCGGAUAUUGGCCUCCCGUGUCUCCCCGUGCGGUUGGCCCAAAUGUGAGUCCUUGGCAACGGACGUCACGACAAGUGGUGGUUGUAAAAAGCCUUCUUCUUCCGUCGUGCAUUGACCCGUCGCCAACAAAAGCUCUCAUGACCCUUUUGUGCCGUCCCUGACGCGCACUCCGACCGCGACCCCAGGUCAGG